AAACUAACUUUGCUUUUAGGUUAUGAUAUAAGUUUGUGUCCAUCACACACACAAAGGAAAUUCAAAAUUUGUUUUAAAUUUAAUUUUAUCGUUUUGUAUAGGAUUGUUUGAAAGCUGUGAAUACUUCAUCAACCAAGUCAAGUGGAAAGAGAAGAGAAAAGGGAAUAUAAGUCACACCAAUUGAUGAUGGUGGAACACAAAGAUGUUUGAGAUUGUGUUGUAAAUGAGCAUAAUGAAUGAGUCUUGAUACUCUCAAUAAAUCAUUUUUUUAAAGACGAUUCUUCUAAUGCAUUGUCUUCCACCUCUAUAUUUUCUAUUCUAAAAGACCAGUGCGACGCAUUUUCCCUCCGUGCAAGCAUUCAAUUCUUCUGAGUGCUUAUCGUAAUCAGCAUUAGUAGUCACCCCUUUUUCAUUUUCAAGGUUAAUAGUAACUCUCAUUUUCCAAUGUCUUCUCUGCCAUUUCCCACAUUCAUCUUAAACUCUCUCUCUCUCUCUCAUUGUCUCUCAUGUAGCUCUUCCUGCAUUGGGAUUCUCUGAAAUGGCAUCUCCUUCAUUUUUCGUUUCUUUCUCUUUGUUGCCCUAUCUCUCAAUCAGGAAGAAGAUAACCAAAUUCAUUGUCGCGGGCAAUCUCAAAGCCAUCGAUGUUGUCUCUAGCUCCGACUUUGAAGCUUCCGUCGGAAAAAACAUUGCCGUUUCUCACUAGAAGGAGAGCUGCUGCAACGUAGCAGAUUGCUUAAGAAGGAGGUUCAAUUAUAUUUUUGUAAAGAGAGUUGCUGCAAUGUAGCAGAUUGUGGAGAGUGGAUUUUGGUACUUUUGUAGCUUACUUUCACAAACCAAGGUGAUUGGUUUCUAUUGUAAUUUCUUGAAAUCAUGAAGGUAAGUGUGAUAACAAUAAAGUAUUGAUUCUCUUUAAUUUCAAGACUCUUAUUUCUUACUCUCCUGUAGACAAAUGUCUAUUCUUAAUGUCUGUUCUAUUGCUAUUGAUAUUAAUGGGACAUAAACACAACACAAAUCUCACAUACACAUAUGCAGCGAGAGAGAGAGAAUUGUUGUAACACUAUACUUGAUUCUCACAAAUUAAUUUUUACCAUAAUACAAGAAUGCAUUAUUUGUA